CUCGGUUCGGGUGGCGGAGCGGGGACGGAGCUAGGCCGCGGAUCCCCGGCCUCGCGUAGAAGCCUCGGCCGAGCGCGGCGCGCGAAGGCCGGCAGAGGUGGCGAGGCCUCGCGGCAGGACAAAGGCCCGAGGGAGGGCUCGGCGGAAGAGCCACUCCAGCUUCAGCUCCUACUGCGUGAUUCACGUUUUCAGCACAGCCAGCAGUAGGAAUUUGCUAAAGAAAUAAAUAAACGACCUGCUUUCCCUCUUCCCCCCCCCCCAAAAAAAGAGGAGACAUUUUAGGGUAAAUAUUCUAAACUAGUUGCUAAACUAAUCACAGCCAUUUAGGGGAGCGCUAAUUAGUACCACUUGCAGUUAGCAUGGUUCCAAAGGAUGAAUACAUUUCAUUUGUUUUCAUUUGAUUUUGGGUGGAGGCAGGAGAUGCUUUGGGGGGCUGUUGGACCCAUGAAGGGAUCCCAGCACUCAUGGCUGCACCUACGGGCUGAGCUUUGAACGGGGCAGUUUGUGAUCUCAGAGCACUGAACAGAAACCCAGAUGCUGCACUGCUGAAUCCACCACCCUGUGCCUCAUCUCUGUGUGCUGGAGGAGCUGGGGGUCAUUUUGGUGAGGACCUUGGGAGGCUGAAGGCUCCUGGAUACCUGGAGCACAUAUUUCAAACACAAACGUUUUGUCCAACACAGUCGGAGCCGUGGGUGGUUACUUCAGCAAUAAGCUGAGGUUACACCACCCUCCUGUGCCUUGCCAAAAGGGUUGGGAUAUGCAUCGUAGAGCCCCAUCUCUGCUGCAAAGCCAAAUGCUGUCCUCCCCAGAUUAUCUUCCAUGUAACAUCUGCAGCCACAGCUCCUUUCCAAGACACCAAACCAGCUCCCAUAGGAUGAGGCAGCUCGCCUUUCUGUGCUGUUGAGGGGAAAGGAAUCAACAGGUAACCGCAUUUAUGGCCGUGGGCAGAAAUUCUGGAGAUUUCCUCUAAGAGCAUCGUGUGCUGUCAGCAAAGCGCCUGGUAGGGAUGGGGGACAGACGAGCUCACCAGUUAGCUUCUGCAAGAGGCCAGCAAUGGGACUUUUCCCCAUCAGAGCCUCUAAGAGAUCCUGGAAGUUUUCCUGCUGUAUUCCAUCACAGCACCACUCGGAGCAGAGGUGCACCAUCCCCAUGCAGCGUUUCCUUUCUUACUGCACAAGCCUGUGUGCCCUGGCACAGCAAUGGGCUCCAAUGUAAAAAUGGAUUUGUUGAUGAUAAGACACAGUUCAGCUCGGGUCUUGGUUAUGGAAUUCUUUCCCAUAGGACUUAAUACCUCAGAUUCAGGCUCAGCAGAGACAUGGUGUUUGUUUGUUUUUUUGUUUUCUAGGCAAAAAUCUGUUUCCUAAAGAAGAAAAACUGAACGUAUUGAGAUGUCCUUGCAUGGAAAAGCUGUUUGUGACUUUGUUUGAGCAGGGAAAGGUUUGGUGAUUCAAAGUGGUUGGGAUGUGGAAGAAUUUAAACACGCUGUAUAAGAAAAUAUCCAAUUCAAUCUGAAGCUCUAGCAUCAAACAUGAAGAUACUACUUUUAAGAACAUAUAAACAUAAUAAAACAAUUGGAAAAUGAAGCCUGGUUAUCUCAAGCCGCAGUAUUCAGUGGAUUUGGAGUAUUUGGAUCUCUAAGAAUCCUCAUGCAAUAAACCUUCCAUUCUUCACACAGUAAACCUGCACGACACACAAACACUCCUCACUUUUCCCCCCAUUUCCACGUGAGAUGCUGCAGCUCCGACACACCGGUCCUUUUAGAGGAGCUGCUUCGAAAGCUGGCGGGCAGGGUGGCUAUGAGCAAUGCAGGACGUACAGGGCUGACCAAAUAUUAUCUCAUCCGUGGGGGCAAGCCAGCCCUCCUACACCCUCAUCUGUGCCAGAUCCCUCCAUACAGCAUCCUGCUCUCCAGGUCUGCCAUCAGCCAGCAGCAAAGCUUCCCGCUGCAUCCCCCCGUGGCAGCACUCCCGUUUUCUCUCCCUGGAUGUCAGCAAUAUCUUUGGCAUGUUACGCUUCUAUCACGGUUUGGAAGAACUACUCGGCUGCCGCAGCCAUUUUGUCACUGAAUUCAACUGGAGCUUCCUCCAGCCAGCACCGUGCUUAGCAAAAAGGAGAGCAAAACCUUUACAGCGCUGCUGUGCUCUGAACCAACGUUAGAUUUGGCAAAAAUGUGCUGAGAUUUUAGAAAUAAGGCAACACAGCGUCUAACAAGUUCUUUGUCAUGAAUUUUGAAGAUAAAAUAUCUGAAGGUUGUUAUCUUUUUUUUUUCUUUUUUUUUUUUUUGU